CAAAUGUGUGCCUGCUGUCUGAGGACAUGAGAAGAGGGUAUCCAGUCCCCUACAAUUGUAGUUAUGGAUGGUUGUGAACCACCAUGCUGUGCUUGAGCUGAACCUGGGUCCUCUGCAAGAACAUCAAGUGUUCUAACCUGCGGAGCCAUCUUUCCAGCCCAGAAUAAGGGUGGACUGCAGGAAGUUGCUGAGCAGUUAGAGCUGGAGCGGAUAGGACCUCAACACCAGGCAGGAUCUGACUCACUGCUUACAGGAAUGGCCUUUUUCAAAAUGAGAGAAAUGUUCUUUGAAGAUCACAUUGAUGAUGCCAAAUACUGUGGCCACUUAUACGGCCUUGGUUCUGGCUCAUCCUAUGUACAGAACGGCACAGGGAAUGCAUAUGAAGAGGAAGCCAGCAAGCAGUCGUGACAGGAAAUAGUCUUCUUAUUUUUAUUUUAUACGAGUUACACACAUGCUUGUAUAUAGGUUUUAUCAUCCCUUAAAUAAUAGGCAAUACCUGCCCCUCCUUUGGUAGCCCUUCUUUUCUGCUUUCAGUAAUAAGUAUGGCCUUUCUUAGCUAUGAUCUUAAUAAAUUAAAGUACAUUCAGGUUAAAUCUGGCCUUAAUUUAAUACACCUCUUAUCAAGCUUGUGUGACAAAGCUACAUUACUGAAUAAUUUGACAAACUUUGCCUACUUGAGCUUGGUUUUGUUUUUCCCUUUCCUAAAUUAACUAGCAUUGACUGUAAUUUAUUUCCCUCUUCCGUGCCUCUCCUCCUAUUCUGCAGUACUUAUAGGUAUUUAAGAUU
rnacentral:lncRNA from 1 species